rnacentral:rRNA from 1 species
GCCAGGAUGUUGGCUUAGAAGCAGCCAUCAUUUAAAGAAAGCGUAAUAGCUCACUGGUCGAGUCGGCCUGCGCGGAAGAUGUAACGGGGCUAAACCAUGCACCGAAGCUGCGGCAGCGACACUAUGUGUUGUUGGGUAGGGGAGCGUUCUGUAAGCCUGUGAAGGUGUACUGUGAGGUAUGCUGGAGGUAUCAGAAGUGCGAAUGCUGACAUAAGUAACGAUAAAGCGGGUGAAAAGCCCGCUCGCCGGAAGACCAAGGGUUCCUGUCCAACGUUAAUCGGGGCAGGGUGAGUCGACCCCUAAGGCGAGGCCGAAAGGCGUAGUCGAUGGGAAACAGGUUAAUAUUCCUGUACUUGGUGUUACUGCGAAGGGGGGACGGAGAAGGCUAUGUUGGCCGGGCGACGGUUGUCCCGGUUUAAGCGUGUAGGCUGGUUUUCCAGGCAAAUCCGGAAAAUCAAGGCUGAGGCGUGAUGACGAGGCACUACGGUGCUGAAGCAACAAAUGCCCUGCUUCCAGGAAAAGCCUCUAAGCAUCAGGUAACAUCAAAUCGUACCCCAAACCGACACAGGUGGUCAGGUAGAGAAUACCAAGGCGCUUGAGAGAACUCGGGUGAAGGAACUAGGCAAAAUGGUGCCGUAACUUCGGGAGAAGG